rnacentral:rRNA from 1 species
GUAAGGAAUAUUGCACAAUGGGGGAAACCCUGAUGCAGCAACGCCGCGUGGGCGAUGAAGGUCUUCGGAUCGUAAAGCCCUUUUCUGGGGGAAGAGGCAGGACGGUACCUCAGGAAUAAGUCUCGGCUAACUACGUGCCAGCAGCCGCGGUAAAACGUAGGAGGCUAGCGUUAUCCGGAUUUACUGGGCGUAAAGCGCGUGCAGGCGGUCAGUUAAGUUAGGCGUAAAAUCUCUCGGCUUAACCGGGAGGGGUCGUUUAAUACUGGCUGACUUGAGGGUAGGAGAGGGAAGCGGAAUUCCCGGUGUAGCGGUAAUAUGCGCAGAUAUCGGGAGGAACACCAGUGGCGAAGGCGGCUUUCUGGCCUAUUUCUGACGCUAAGACGCGAAAGCUAGGGGAGCGAACGGGAUUAGAAACCCUAGUAGUCC